rnacentral:tRNA from 1 species
GCCCGGAUGGCGGAACAGGUAGACGCGCCGGUCUCAAAAACCGGUUCAGGCAACUGAUUGUCGGUUCGAUUCCGACUCCGGGUA